CAAACGUCUGCGGAAGCGGCGCGCGUGUGUAUGCGGAGAGAAGACACCUCCGCGGCGCGGCCGAAUCAUAUACCUCCUAUUACAAAUAUUUAAUGGAGAAGGAAAAAAUUGGUGUGAAUAGGAUGACAAGACGAUAAUGGCCUUGCAGCGUUUUACCUCGCUGUAUGAUCGCGCGCUGGCGGGACGUCCAAGUUACGCGAGCAGCAGCAGCAGCAGCGGUGACGCCUCGUCGUUCAUCCGUCCCCUUUUUUUUUUGGAGCACACCAGUUUCGGUUUAGCAGACCGCCGAUAAAUCGUCGCAUUAUUAGAAUUUUACACCGUUCACCCCUGUGCAAAGAAGAACGCUCCGAGUUGGAAAAAAAAAAACCGAUAGUAAUUCUAUCAAUUUUAAAAGGAACCCCCCCUCGGUGGCGGAGGCCUUGCAAAUCAAUAUAAUAUAUUUUGUGUUUUUCAUCAAGUUCCAAAAACUUACAAUUACGUUGUUCGUUAAAUUAAUUUGAAGGUCCAGUCGAUUUUCCGUCAAUUUUUUACCCUUAUGCGAGAGAAAAGGUAAAUAGCGCCGGAUGUCGGUGGUGCGAAAUAAAAAAAAUUGCAAUUCCAUAUAGAAAGGAUCUGGGAUCUGCGGCGAACAACGACGAUAAAUAGCGCGUGGCUCUUUCUUUUCUUAAUAGCGCGACCAUAACAGAAGCAGGUAAUGAAGAAGCCACUGCUGGGCUAAAACCGGGGGGAUAAGUUGCUGCAGCUCUCUCUCUCUCUCUCUCUCUCGUCACCUGGACUCGCGGCUCGCGGUUAUUGACGACGUCCGCUCGUUGUGUUCCUGCUCCCGUCUAUACUCGCGCCGAUCCUAUAUCUAAUCAUAUUUAUCAAUGUUGGAAUCGUAAAUAUACGGAUGCUAUGAACCAAUGAA